UACGGGGGGGGUAAGCGUUGUUCGGAAUUACUGGGCGUAAGGGGCUCGUAGGCGGCCAACUAAGUCAUACGUGAAAUCCCUCAGCUUAACUGGGGAACUGCGUGUGAUACUGGAUGGCUUGGAUUUGGGAGAGGGAUGCGGAAUUCCAGGUGUAGCGGUGAAAUGCGUAGAUAUCUGGAGGAACACCGGUGGCGAAGGCGGCAUCCUGGACCAACACUGACGCUGAGGAGCGAAAGCCAGGGGAGCAAACGGG
rnacentral:rRNA from 1 species